rnacentral:rRNA from 1 species
UACAGAGGUCUCAAGCGUUGUUCGGAAUUACUGGGCGUAAAGCGCACGUAGGCGGAUUUGUAAGUCAGGGGUGAAAUCCCGGGGCUCAACCUCGGAACUGCCUUUGAUACUGCAAGUCUUGAGUCCGGAAGAGGUGAGUGGAAUUCCUAGUGUAGAGGUGAAAUUCGUAGAUAUUAGGAAGAACACCAGUGGCGAAGGCGGCUCACUGGUCCGGUACUGACGCUGAGGUGCGAAAGCGUGGGGAGCAAACAGG